AGAACGAACGCUGGCGGCAUGCCUAACACAUGCAAGUCGAACGCUCACCGGGCUUCGGUUCGGUGGGAGUGGCGCACGGGUGAGUAGCGCGUGGGAACCUGCCCUGUUGUGGGGGAUAACCGAGGGAAACUUCGGCUAAUACCGCAUGCGCCCGGGGAAACCCGGGGAAAGAUUUAUCGCAGCAGGAGGGGCCCGCGUCGGAUUAGGUAGUUGGUAGGGUAACGGCCUACCAAGCCUUUGAUCCGUAGCUGGUCUGAGAGGAUGAUCAGCCACACUGGGACUGAGACACGGCCCAGACUCCUACGGGAGGCAGCAGUGGGGAAUAUUGGACAAUGGGCGCAAGCCUGAUCCAGCCAUGCCGCGUGGGUGAUGAAGGCCCUAGGGUUGUAAGGCCCGUUUCGGCGGGGAAGAUAAUGACGGUACCCGCAGAAGAGCCCGGCUAACUUCGUGCCAGCAGCCGC
rnacentral:rRNA from 1 species